rnacentral:rRNA from 1 species
AGAUUGAACGCUAGCGGGAUGCUUUACACAUGCAAGUCGAACGGCAGCGCGGACUUCGGUCUGGCGGCGAGUGGCGAACGGGUGAGUAAUAUAUCGGAACGUGCCCAGUAGCGGGGGAUAACUACGCGAAAGCGUGGCUAAUACCGCAUACGCCCUACGGGGGAAAGGGGGGAUCGCAAGACCUCUCACUAUUGGAGCGGCCGAUAUCAGAUUAGCUAGUUGGUGAGGUAAAGGCUCACCAAGGCGACGAUCUGUAGCUGGUUUGAGAGGACGACCAGCCACACUGGGACUGAGACACGGCCCAGACUCCUACGGGAGCAGCAGUGGGGAAUUUUGGACAAUGGGGGAAACCCUGAUCCAGCCAUCCCGCGUGUGCGAUGAAGGCCUUCGGGUUGUAAAGGCA